AGAGCAUGCAGCGAAUGCCUAGGCACUAAGCGCCGAUGAAGGACGCAACUAACGGCGAAACGCUACGGGGAGCGGUAAGUACGCAACGAUCCGUAGGAAUCCGAAUGGGGGAACCCGGCAGUUAGAAGAACUGUCACACUAGAGAUAGUGGGGGAACGUGGGGAACUGAAAUAUCUAAGUACCCACAGGAAAAGAAAGUAAAAACGAUUCUGCAAGUAGCGACGAGCGAACGUGGAGGAGCCAGCACUAAUAACAGUAAGAAAACCAUAUUAUAGACGAGCACUUUGGGAAGAGUGGCCAGAGAAGGUGAAAGCCCUGUAGUUAAAAUGAUGUGGACUGGUAGUGCAAGAAGUAGGGCGGGACACGAGGAAUCCCGUUUGAAGAUGUGAGGACCAUCUCAUAAGGCUAAAUACGACUUAGUGACCGAUAGUGAACCAGUACCGUGAGGGAAAGGUGAAAAGAACCCCGGGAGGGGAGUGAAAGAGAUCCUGAAACUGUAUGCUUACAAUUAGUCAGAGCCCGUUAAGGGGUGAUGGCUUGCCUUUUGUAGAAUGAACCGGCGAGUUACGAUAUAUAGCGAGGUUAAGCCUGAAGGGGCGGAGCCGCAGGGAAACCGAGUGUUAAGAGCGCGAGAUAUAGUUAUAUGUUGUAGACCCGAAACCGGGUGAUCUAGCCAUGAGCAGGUUGAAGUCUAUGUAAGAGUAGAUGGAGGACCGAACGAGGGAGUGUUAAAAAACUCUUCGAUGACUUGUGGCUAGGGGUGAAAUUCCAAUCGAACCCGGAGAUAGCUGGUUCUCCCCGAAAUAGCUUUAGGGCUAGCGUUAACGAGUAAUUCAUGAGGGUAGAGCACUGAAUGUGUGAUGGCCGCACCUCGCGGUACUGAGCCCAAUCAAACUCCGAAUAUCAUGAAGUAAGAAGUUAGCAGUCAGACAGUGGGUGAUAAGGUUCAUUGUCGAAAGGGAAAGAGCCCAGACCGCCAGUUAAGGUCCCAAAAUUAAUGCUAAGUGGCAAAGGAAGUGGAGAUGCACAAACAGCUAGGAGGUUGGCUUAGAAGCAGCCAUCCUUUAAAGAGUGCGUAAUAGCACACUAGUCGAGUGACUCUGCGCCGAAAAUGUACCGGGGCUAAGCAUUAUACCGAAGCUGCGGAUUUGGAGGUAACUCUGAGUGGUAGGGGAGCGUUCUAACAGCGAAGAAGCGGUACCGGAAGGAGCCGUGGAGUGGUUAGAAGAGAGAAUGCCGGUGUAAGUAACGAAAAGAUAGGUGAGAAUCCUAUCCGUCGAAAACCCAAGGAUUCCAGGGGAAGGUUCGUCCGCCCUGGGUAAGUCGGGGCCUAAGGUGAGUCCGAGAGGAGUAGCCGAUGGAUAACAGGUAGAGAAUCCUGUACUAGUAUAUAUACAGAUGGAGUGACAGAGGAGGCUAGGUUUCGCCCGUGAAUGGAUUCGGGACGAGAUAGCGAGACAGUGGUGUAGGAAAAUCCGCACUGCGUUAAGGAUAGCUAUGAUAGGUAAAGGAAUACGAAGUCAAACUUUCAAGAAAAGCUUCUAUGGUUAAUAUAUAUACUACCCGUACCGUAAACCGACACAGGUGGGUGGGUAGAAAAUACUAAGACGCGCGAGAAAACCCUUGUUAAGGAACUCGGCAAAAUGACCCCGUAACUUAGGGAUAAGGGGGACUUUUAAUGAAAAAAGAGAGUCGCAGAAAAAAGGCCCAAGCGACUGUUUAUCAAAAACACAGGUCUCUGCAAAACCGUAAGGUGAAGUAUAGGGGCUGACGCCUGCCCGGUGCUGGAAGGUUAAGAGGAGAUGUUAGGCAACGAAGCAUCGAAUUGAAGCCCCAGUAAACGGCGGCCGUAACUAUAACGGUCCUAAGGUAGCGAAAUUCCUUGUCGGGUAAGUUCCGACCCGCACGAAAGGCGUAACGAUUUGGGCACUGUCUCAACAAGGGACUCGGUGAAAUCAAGCUGCCGGUGAAAACGCCGGCUACCCGCGACAGGACGAAAAGACCCCAUGGAGCUUUACUGUAGCUUGAUAUUGAGAUUCGGUGUACGAUGUACAGGAUAGGUGGGAGACUGAGAAACUAGGACGUUAGUCUUGGCGGAGUCGCCCUUUGGAUACCACCCUUCGUCCAUUGAGUUUCUAACCAUCAGAUGUGGAAUCUGGGGGACAGUGUCAGGUGGGCAGUUUGACUGGGGCGGUCGCCUCCCAAAGAGUAACGGAGGCGCCC
rnacentral:rRNA from 1 species